rnacentral:rRNA from 1 species
UACGGAGGGGGCGAGCGUUAUUCGGAAUUAUUGGGCGUAAAGGGCGCGUAGGCGGCCCGGUAAGUCAAAGGUGAAAUCCCUCGGCUCAACUGAGGAACUGCCUUUGAAACUGUCGGGCUUGAGGCCGGGAGGGGGUAGCGGAAUUCCCAGUGUAGCGGUGAAAUGCGUAGAUAUUGGGAGGAACACCAGUGGCGAAGGCGGCUACCUGGACCGGUUCUGACGCUGAGGCGCGAAAGCGUGGGUAGCAAACAGGGA